AACGAACGCUGGCGGCAUGCCUAACACGUGCAAGUCGAACGCGUGGAGCGAUCUGCGCGUGGCGCACGGGUGAGUAACGCGUGGGAACCUGCCCUUGGGUGCGGGAUAACCCGGCGAAAGCCGGGCUAAUACCGCCUACGCCCUGCGGGGGAAAGAUUUAUCGCCCAAGGAGGGGCCCGCGUCGGAUUAGCUAGUUGGUGAGGUAAUGGCUCACCAAGGCGAUGAUCCGUAGCUGGUCUGAGAGGAUGAUCAGCCACACUGGGACUGAGACACGGCCCAGACUCCUACGGGAGGCAGCAGUGGGGAAUAUUGGACAAUGGGGGCAACCCUGAUCCAGCAAUGCCGCGUGGGUGAUGAAGGCCUUCGGGUUGUAAAGCCCUUUCGGCGGGGACGAUGAUGACGGUACCCGCAGGAGAAGCCCCGGCUAACUUCGUGCCAGCCGCCGCAGUAAGAC
rnacentral:rRNA from 1 species